UACGUAGGUGGCAAGCGUUGUCCGGAAUUAUUGGGCGUAAAGCGCGCGCAGGCGGCCUCUUAAGUCUGAUGUGAAAGCCCCCGGCUCAACCGGGGAGGGCCAUUGGAAACUGGGAGGCUUGAGUAUAGGAGAGAAGAGUGGAAUUCCACGUGUAGCGGUGAAAAUGCGUAGAGAUGUGGAGGAACACCAGUGGCGAAGGCGACUCUUUGGCCUAUAACUGACGCUGAGGCGCGAAAGCGUGGGGAGCAAACAGG
rnacentral:rRNA from 1 species